CAUGGUUUAUUAUUUUUUGAGACAGUCUCACUCUGUCGCUCAGGCUGAAGUGCAGUGUUAUGAUCUCAGCUCACUGCCACCUUUGCCUCCCUGGGUUGAAGUGAUUCUCCUGCCUCAGCCUCCUGAGUAGUUGGCAUUACAGGUGCACACUACCACACCUGGCUAACUUUUGUAUUUUUUGGCCAGACUGAUCUUGAACUCCUGACCUCAUGAUCCACCCACCAUGGCCUCCCAAAGUGCUGGGACUGCAGGCAUGAACCACUGUGCCUGACCCAUAGUUUUAUCCUAUCUGUUUAAAAAUGAAGAUUGAAAGAAUACAUAUGCAAAUAAGUUUACAUUUCUCUUUCUGUAAUACUUUGCUGUGUUGUCUGGGUAUUGACAAUCAAUAUGCAUUCUGAAGCUACAUGGCUAAUGUUGAGUACUCACUGUGUGUGCCAGGCCCUGGGCUCAAUGCUCUACAUGCGUUUUUAUUUCAUUUAAUUCUCUCCACAACCUGAGAUACUAUAGCCAACCCACUUUAGAGAGUUAGAACUGAGGCUCAGAGACUGAAAGUUAAAUGCCUGAGGUUGCAGUUAAUAAGAGGCAGAGCUGGAACUGAAGCCUACGUGUGCCUGACAACCAGUUCACGUUCUAAAACAGUAGGCUAGACUGCUUCACAGAGCAUGGAAUAAGAUGGUGCGUGCCUGCCAGGAUGGACUAGGUAUCACUGUAGGUAAUAAACAGCCCCAAACAAUGGAAAUGUACAACACUGAAGGCUCUUUGUCUGCUCAUGCUGCACAUCCUCCAUGGCUCUCCUGGGCCCUGUGCUCCACAUCACCUCAUCUGCCACCAGAAUAAAGGAGCAGCCUCCAUAUGGGACCUCGGUGGUUCUAAGAGAUGAAGGAAAGGGUGGCCAGUCUCAAUGGCUCCUAACUCUUUUGCCUCUAGGUGACACACUUCACUUCCACUCACAUCUCCUGAGUCAAAUCAAAUCCCAUAACUACCUCUACCUUCAGGGGGCCUAGAGGAGAACCUGAAAUACUCUGUGGACUCCAUUAAGGCCACCAUACAGUGUCAGCUGUAUGUGGGAGACUGUGGAGUGACAGAGGAGGAGAGCAGGGAAUUGAUGGGAAAUGACAGCAGGGCUGAGUCACUGUGCAUUUGCUUUAUCCUUUGCCAGGUAGAGUUUUCCCAGAGCUGCACAAAAUCAUCAGCAGCAUGAUCAAACAGGGUAAACUUCAGAAAAAGCAGUUUGUUCAGAUGUGGUCAGCAGUGAACUCGGAAGUCAACUGCGAGGCACUGAGUCAGUAAAGCUCUGACUGCCUCAGUUACCCCAUAUGAGAGUGGUGAAGAUGGCAGCAUUGAGAGAGUUGAUUUGGAAGGAUAUCAGGAGUGUGAACAUUCAACAUUUUAGUUCCUUUAAGUAAAAUCCAGGCACUAUCUUUCCUGCAAGUCUCCUGUUUCUUUCAGAUUGCACAGGUGAGAGUGCUCAGAUUAGGGCUGGAGGUCAUAAAAUAUUGGCUCCCACACCAACAGUUCCCUUGUGUUGUGCAUGCAUUCUGUGCAUUUUCCUGUGCUAAACAUUGUCCCAAAACAUCAUGGGGCCUGAUUCUUCCUCCUUGUUCCAACGGCCCUGGGUGACUCAAGUGCCCAUUCAAUGAUCAGGACUCAGAUAUCUUACAGUGAUGCCCCAUGAGGCCCCAGGUGUCAGCCACUGCCCUAUCAAAGUGUGAGGCAAGGGACAGGGCAUCAUCUGUGGGGGACAGUGGUCGGCCAGGCUUGGUGACUUUACUUGGUGGACAGAUGAUCCUACACCUGCCACCUCUGAUGGAUCCACAGCCUCUGUGCCUGUUUGUACUACUGAUACUCCAGUAGCUCCCUCAGCAUCCCAGCCUAGGCCCAAUGCCACUGAAGACAGACCUGGCCCCUGGGGACCCAGGAGUCCUACAGGACUCACUCAGCUGUCCCCAGGAGUCACCAGACCCUCAUUCUUAUCAAGGACCUAGGGCCCUACCCGCUGGCCCUCCCCAACAGCCAUAAAUGAUGAUUUGCUGCUGUUAGCACCAUUACUGUCUUUAGUGGCCAAGGAUCUUCCAAGGUGCCAGCUCUGGAAGGAAAGAUGUCCUUGGGAGGUGAUGACAUUCGAUACACAGGUGCUCAACAGGUUGCUUCCUCCUAUCCUCAGACAGUCUUUGACACAGCCAUUGACACUCACAUCGUGUGGAAAGAAACCAGCCCAGGGUCACACAGCUGGUCAUUAGCACAGCUGGUCUCAAAUCUAAGGUGCUGGCCCUGCCUCCAUGAGGGAACUGCCUGCAAGGGAGGUUGACCCGGGCUUUGAGGAGCCCUUCCUGGGCUGCAUGAAUCACCUCCCCAUUGAAGACCCCAAACUCUGCUCACAUCUUCUUCCUUGCCCUGUCUCUGCUUGGGCUAUAAUCAAGGUGACCCCAGCAACCCUUCAUGGACAUGAUGGUACUACUCCCUGCCAUUCACUUUUGGGCUAAUCUGACUUCAACACUCACUUACUUGGUCUCUCCCUUUACAACCAAGACAACCCAAAUCUGGAGCUCUUUAUGCAGUUGACAGCAUAUGAAUAGAAUUGAAUGCCAUAGUUGUGUUGUCCCUGUUUUGUUUUUGUUUUCCUUGUGUCUCAGGGUUGUUUUUCUAUUUAUGGUAAAGGCAUUGGCUUUCCAUUUGUAGCAUAAAUAGAAUAUUUGCAGUUUACAAUAACUUUAUGUCAUAGUAAAUUGUAAGGAGAUUUAAAGCAGUGGUUUUCAGCUGCGAGAGGCAUGAAUAUGUUUGAGCACACUCUGUGAUCAGGCAGAAGCAGGCCUUUGGGAGGUUUAGCUGAGGAUGGGUCCAGGAAAGAUAAUGGACAGUGUGGGUCUGACCUGGUCACCAGACCCUUGGGUCCUGCCCACCAGCUUGGCACUCCCUAGCCAUCACUUGUGAUGCUGCCAAACCCUCUGGGUAUUGUGGCCAAAUACCCCAGGAGAGAGGCUGAUGAACUUCGUCUCUUGAAAUGCACAGAUUCCUUGGACAUCCUUGGGAGCUCAACCAUGAGAAUCAACUUGGUUUUCUCCCCCUUAUUAGGGUUCAAAUUCAAAAGUCCACCUUCACGGACAGUAAAAUAAUAUAGAUAAGUGAUACCAUCACCCUGUUUCAGAUGUGAACAUGUCUUGGGGGGUUAGGGGUGAUGUGAGACCACACAACCUUAUGCCACACAGCGGAAUUCCUGGGCCAGAGGGAGACAUUCAAUUGCCAUGUUAUGAUCUUCUCACUGAGGGUAAAGGCAGUCUUGUUUCACUUUGGAUUCUUUCUUCUGUUGAUAUCUUAAGGGCACUUUGAAUUUCCAAGCAUAUAAUAAUUUUUGUUUAGCUUUUAAUCAUUGACUUCUAGCACAAUUCUGUGAUCAGAAAACUGCUGUGUGAUUGGAUUUGUCUAAAAUAUAUUGAGAUUUGCUUGAAGAACAAAACAAGUCAGGUUAAUUUUUGUAAAUGGACCAUGCAUGCUUAAAACCAGUGUAGCUCCAACAUUUGUUCCCAAGAUACAGGAUGAUGGACAGAUGGCUCCAUGGAUGUGCUGGACAUGGUUUACUAUUGGGACUUUCCACAUCCUUCUGAUGUUUUUUUGCUUAGAAUAUGAAUGGCUGAGAGGGGAUUGUGGAGCUCUGAGGGAUCUGUGGGGAUCGCUCCCGCGUGAGGCCCCUGGGAAAUGGGCCUCGCCAUACGGUGAGCUUGAGCCCGGACACAGAUCCCUGGUUGGGGGAGUCGAGCUAAGGGAAAAUAGGAACCGAGACAGGAACUAUAUGUUAUCCAAAAUAAUUAACAGACAUUACUUUAUGGAUACGAGGACUUGGGAGGCAUUGUGUCUACUUUUGGCUCCUUAUGGUUUAUUGCUUGAUUGUGUUCAUUUUGUACCCGUGUUACCUUCAUUGUAAAAUUAACUUAAAUAUUUACACUUGGUAACUUACCGUAACUUACAGGGUGUAACUGUAACUUAUUUACCAUAGCUUACAGGGCGUGACUGUAACCUACUUACCUUGACCUAUUGGGCGUAACCUACUUACUGGGUGUAGCCUACUUACUGGGCUUAACUUACUUACUGGGUGUAACUUGCUUACUGUAACUUAAGUACGUUAAUCUGGCGUAAACAACUUUAACUUCAGUAAAGUAUAUAAUGAAACACAUUGCAAAAAUAAAAUUGCUGCAUGAGCAUAGCGCAUGUAGCCCUCCAGACCUGCCUUUUCUAUCUCCUUUUUUCCGCCAAGACUGACCAUGAGAAACCCUGGGAGCUCAAGAAGGAAGGAGCUGCCAGAAGCUGCUGAACCUCCCACUCACCUUUGGAGACUAAGUUUGAACCAGAUCCUUUCCCAGAUCCCCUCCUCAAGCCCUAAGCCACCCCCACCUCUGUCCUGACCACCUGAGGGUGCCCUGAGAGGACCAGGAGUUGCGGGUGUGCCAUGGCUGCUCUUUUGGCUCCUCCUGCUGGGGUUUCCCAGCCAUCAAUCCACCCAUCCACCCGGAGUAAAUCCCAACACACGGUGAAAACCACAUUUGGAAUAUUUUAGCUGCUGGCUGUGUGGGAACUCACUUGCAUCCCCAACUUUCAACUAUAAAAAGUCAAGUAUUUAUACUGAAGAACACAGAAUUUUCAGAGAAUCCCAGGCUUCUUAAAGCACCCAGUGACUUUUCACACCUUAAAUCUGUGAAAUCCUCAAGUUUCCUUCUGCCGUAUGCGUAGCUCACACAUACAAGAUGAGGCAAAGCCAGACGCAUUCCUGAAGGGACCCAAGAAAUUCCUCUCUUUCUCUGGAACAAAAUGAAUUCUCUAGACCAUCAGUACUAAAGUUCAAAGGCCAAACCUGUCUAUACAGAUACUGUGGUUUUACAAUUGUUUACAAUUACUCCUGUCGGAAAGGACUUUAUAAAAUGGAAUCCAAUAAUGAAGUAUAGUUCAUUUGCCUUCAGCCUACAGAUUCUUUUCAUUUUCGAAGAGACUGAUGUCAGCACCAUUUUCCCUACACCUUCAGUAUUUUAGGACAGCCAGGUAGGGGUGCAUGUCUGCGGAGAAACUGAGCAAGAAUGACUGUGCUGAGCUCUGGUGCCACCAGAGGGUGUGCAAACCCACCCCUGACCAACUUCCCUCUGAGGUGCCAGAAGCAGCAAGGAUCUUCAACUUCCUCGGGGUAGCACAAGGGUCGUGUUAACUAAGUUUUGUUCAUUGAUUAUUCAUUGCUAGUGUAUACACAUAAAAUGGAUUUUUCUGCCAGGUGCGGUGGCUCACACCUGUAAUCCCAGCACUUUGGGAAGCCAAGGGAGGCAGAUCACCUGAGGUCAGGAGUAUGAGACCAGCCUAGGCAACAUGACAAAACCCAUCUCUACUAUAAAUACAAAAAUUAUCUGGGUGUGGUGGCACAUGCCUGUAAUCCCAGCUACUCAGAAGCCUGAAGCAGAAGAAUUGCUUGCAACUGGGAGAUGGAGGUGGCAGUGAGCCAAGAUCAUGCCAUUGUACUCCAGCAUGGGUGACAAGAGUAAAACUUCAUCUCAAAAAGAAAUAAUAAUAAAUAAAAUAAAAUGGAUUUUUGUAUUGGUAUUGUACUUGUAUGUUUACCCAAUUUGUUUACUAUCUCUAAUAAUUUUUUAAACAUUCCUUAGGAAUGUCUACGUAUGAGAUCAGGUGAUAAUUGAUCCUCAAAUAGUUAUUUUAUUUUCUUGCAUAAUUGCCCUACCUGUAUCUUCCAAUACACUAUUGAAUACACAAGUGAAAGUAGGUGUCUGUGCCUUGUUAUACUAUUAGGAAUAAACCUUUCAAUGGUGACAAUUGAGUAUGUUUACUGUUGGCUUUACGCUUUUUUCAUGUUUAAGAAAUGUCCUAUUUUUAGGUUUGUGUUUUUUAUCAUGAUAUGGUGUUGAACUUUGUUAGAAGCCCUUUCUGCAUCGGUUGAGAGAAUUAUGGGGUGUUUUCCAUUCAUUCUAAUAAUACAGUGUGCUACGUGGAUGGCGUUAGUGUGUGGAACCAGCAUUGAUUUUCUGGGAUAAAGAAAUCGUGUUCAUGGUGUUUGAUCCUUUCCAAAUGCUGUUGGCUUAAAUUUACUAUUAUUUUGUUGAGGAUUACUAAGUCUGCAUUUUUGAGGUUAUAGAUCUGUAGAUUUCAGUCCUUGAAAUGGCGUGACACUGUGUAGGAUGGAUCAGGAUGGGAUUGGGUAUAGAUUGCGGUAUUUACAGAGUUAGUGUGUAAGGGUAUUACAUAAUCAGGACAUAGGGCUUUACAGGCCAAGAGUUUACCAGUUAAAGAUUAUGGUAUAAGGGCUCCAAGAGAGAAGGUUCAGGUUGGUGGUUGAGAGCUCCAUAGUAGAGAUUAGAGGGAGAGAUUAGGCUGACUAAUAGGGUUAGGUUGACAGGUCAGAAUUACAGGUAAGGGUUAGGGUGAAAGUUUUAGUGAGAUUUUGGAUUGGGGUUAUAUACAGGUUAGAGUAGGUUUAGCUUAAGGUAAGGAUUAGCAUGGGUAAAGGUAACAUUAGAGUUCAUGAUUGACAGUUAAGCUUAGGUUAGAUUUAAGGGUAAUUGACAUAAGGUUAGGGUUAGGGAUUAGGAUUAAGGGUUAGCAUUAAGGUUUACAGUUUA